AGGGCUUUAGAAAAGAAGCAGAAGCACGUAGAGAAGUUGGAAGAGCAGCUGGAGAAGCUGGUCCUGCAAGCCACGGACAAAGAGGAGAACAAGCAGAUCGCUCUGGGCACCUCCAAGCUGAAUUACCUGGACCCGCGCAUCAGUGUGGCCUGGUGGGUUGACGUGCCUGGGGAAGGACGGUCCUGCUGUGUGUUUGGUGCAAAAGUGGAAGCCCGGUCAUGACUGCUAGGAUUUGCCUGCCCUCCGCCCUAAAGUCCCAGGGUUCGGGUUGCAACAAUUAAAACGCAAUAUUAAAAAUCGUUUGGAACAGCAUACGGUCACAGGAUCCUGAAAACAUACACCUCAAAGGCCAGGGCAAAGAGGUGCAUUUUCAGCAUCCUCCGGAAGCUGUACAAUGAAGGUGCCAGGUGCAAUUCUGUGGGGAGGGAGUUGCACAGCUUAGGGGCCACCACAGAGAAGGCCCUGUCCCCCUGGGCCACCACCCUCUGAGUCUCUGAGGGUGGAGGAACUACCAAGAGGGCUUCCUCUCCCGAUCUCAGCACCUGAGAGGGUCCGUAGGGAAGGAGGCGGCCCUUCAGUUAUUCCGGACCUGAGUUAUUUGGGGCUUCAAACACCCAUACAAGCAUCUUGAACUGGACCCGGAAAUUAACUUCCAACCACUGCAGCUCUUUUCAAAGCAGGGGGUUGCGUGAGACCUGAACCCAAAGCCCAAGAAGCCCGGCUUUGAUACCAAAAAGGCGCCCUGACAUGCUUUUUCUGCCCACAGGUGUAAAAGGUUUUGCGUGCCCAUUGAGAAGAUUUUUAACAAGACCCAGAGGGAAAAGUUUGCGUGGGCGAUAGAUAUGGCAGACGAAGAUUUUGUAUUCUGAGGAGAUCCCGGCUACCUCAUUUUCAUGCCUUCGUUGUGACCCCGUUUUUCUUUUCUUUUGCAAGCAAAAAAUACAUCUCUAAAGGAA